rnacentral:rRNA from 1 species
CGAGUCUUAACUGGGCGAAUUAGUUGCAGGGUAUAGACCCGAAACCCGGUGAUCUAGCCAUGGGCAGGUUGAAGGUUGGGUAACACUAACUGGAGGACCGAACCGACUAAUGUUGAAAAAUUAGCGGAUGACUUGUGGCUGGGGGUGAAAGGCCAAUCAAACCGGGAGAUAGCUGGUUCUCCCCGAAAGCUAUUUAGGUAGCGCCUCGUGAACUCAUCUCCGGGGGUAGAGCACUGUUUCGGCUAGGGGGUCAUCCCGACUUACCAACCCGAUGCAAACUGCGAAUACCGGAGAAUGUUAUCACGGGAGACACACGGCGGGUGCUAACGUUCGUCGUGAAGAGGGAAACAACCCAGACCGCCGGCUAAGGUCCCAAAGUCAUAAUUAAGUGGGAAACGAAGUGGGAAGGCUCAGACAGCCAGGAUGUUGGCUUAGAAGCAGCCAUCAUUUAAAGAAAGCGUAAUAGCUCACUGGUCGAGUCGGCCUGCGCGGAAGAUGUAACGGGGCUAAAUUAUGCACCGAAGCCGCGGCAGCGAUAUGUAAAUAUUGUUGGGUAGGGGAGCGUUCUGUAAGCCUGUGAAGGUGACCUGUGAGGGUUGCUGGAGGUAUCAGAAGUGCGAAUGCUGACAUAAGUAACGAUAAUGCGGGUGAAAAACCCGCACGCCGGAAGACCAAGGGUUCCUGUCCAACGUUAAUCGGGGCAGGGUGAGUCGACCCCUAAGGCGAGGCUGAAAAGCGUAGUCGAUGGGCAACGGGUUAAUAUUCCCGUACUGGUGGUAACUGCGAAGGGGGGACGGAGAAAGCUAAAUCAUCCGGGCGACGGUUGUCCCGGUUUAAGCGUGCAGGUGGACUGACCAGGCAAAUCCGGUCGGUUGUUAACACUGAGGCGUGACGACGAGCCACUACGGUGGUGAAGUGAUUGAUGCUCUGCUUCCGGGAAAAGCCUCUAAGCUCCAGGUUACCAUUAAUCGUACCCCAAACCGACACAGGUGGUCAGGUAGAGAAUACUCAGGCGCUUGAGAGAACUCGGGUGAAGGAACUAGGCAAAAUGGUGCCGUAACU